rnacentral:lncRNA from 1 species
AAGAAGGCAAAUAUUCUGUUGGAUCUAAGUAUCAAGUUGAUAGAAAAUGAUGGAAGAGCAAUAGCUUAAAUAGAAUAUGCAAAUGCAGUUGGAAGUCUAAUGUAGGUGGCACAAUAUACAAGACCUAAUGUUGCAUUUGCUAUGAGUAAACUAAGUAGGUUUACUAGCAAUCCAAGUUUCGAACAUUGGAAGGCUAUCGGGAGGGUUCUUGGUUACUUAAGCUUACCUAAAAUCUUGGAAGGAUAUAUGGACGCCAGUUGGAUAUUAAGUGCGGGAGAAAAAAAGCCUACUUUGGGUUAGGUAUUUACUCUUGGAGUAGGUGCAGUUUCUUAAAAGUCUAAGAAACAAACUUGCAGUAUUCACUCAACAAUGAAGUCGAAAUUUGUAGCACUGGCCAAAACUCGAAAAGAAGCUAAGUGGCAAAGAGAUUUGUUAUGUGAAAUUCCUUUAGAUAUAAAGGAUAUUUCUUCAAUAUCUAUUUUGUGUGCUAGUCAAGCUACUCUUGCUGAGCAUAUAACGAAGUGUAUAAUGGAAAGUCUAGACAUGAGUAUGUAAGGAAAUUAAUCAAGCAUUGUAAUUUCUUUUACACAUGUUCAGUCUAGUGAGAACUUAGUUGAUCCAUUUACUAAACCUCCCACGAGAGAAUUAGUAAGAUCGACAUCAAGUAGGAUAUGUUGAAACUCCUUAAAUAGGUCCAUCAAUGAUAGCAACCAUAGCAAAAGUAUAAUAAAUAAGUAUAUUUAGGUUCAAGCGAUAAUAACAAAUCAUUCGGUAAGUGGAUAGAUUUCAGCACUAUUAAAUUAUUGAACCCUAUCUUUGGUAAAUGGUAUUGGUUGUUACUAUUGGAGGGAUGAGUGAUAAUAAUAAAAGUCUUAAUGAAGUUUCAUGCAUGGUAUAAAGUAUUUUUAAAUGUAACAAAGAUGCUAGAAGAACUUUACCAAUGUGAAAUUUGAGGUGAUGCUGCCUCAUUAGAGAGUUUGAGUUUUCUCUCUUUAAAGGUUCAGUUAAAAAUGAUAAGUGCAAGGUCAUAUUAGUAUUAAGCGAGUUAGAGGAACUUGUGAAAAGUUUAACAUUCGUGUGUGUGAUUUCAUCAUUAUUGUCUCAAGAAAUAACUAGUUCAAAGCGUUAUAGCUACUUGGGAUUUCGAUAAUCCUUUAUGAGAUUUACACUAUGGUUAGAUUCAAAUCGAAAGAUAUCUAAUACUUAUGCUUAAGCGUUGAUAUUUGAUUAUGUGAUUCAUAAUGAUUUUGAACAAGUGGAGGAUUGAUUGUUCAAAAUAUCAAAUGAGUGGAUGAAUUUAGAAAAGGAAAAACAAGCAGGUCACAAAAUGGCCUAUGUGACCACACAAGCAUCUAAGGCUUGCAAUCCCAUGUGGUAUUUUAGAAAUAUUGGAGGCAGCCAAAGCUACUACUAUGCGACCGGAUAGUUAUAGCCUAUGCGUCACACAGUUGAAAAAUAUGACUAUUGUCUUGAAAUUUUUUCGAAUUUCUGGUAGUUUUCUUGGUGAAUCCAUGUACCUAUUCAUUUGAGUUGGAAACAUUUCGUGUAGGGAUGAUAGAAAUCUAUAAAUACAUAUUGUGUUCGUUCCAAAAACACAUGAAAAACUUACUCUACUAUUCAUCCAAUUUUGUAUGAAAUUGUGUACCUCUACAUAAUCAAAUUCUUCUUUUCCACUUGGUCAUUUGAAGAAUCCUUUGCUUUUGGUGUUCUUCUUGAGCCUUGAUUAAUCAUACAAACUAUUUUCCAUUUUAAUCCUUAAGAGCAUUGUGAAUGAG